GACGAACGCUGGCGGCGUGCUUAACACAUGCAAGUCGAACGGAAAGGCCCUGCUUUUUUGGGGUUCUCGAGUGGCGAACGGGUGAGUAACACGUGAGUAACCUGCCCUUGACUUUGGGAUAACUUCAGGAAACUGGGGCUAAUACCGUAUAGGAGCUCCUGCUGCAUGGUGGGGGUUGGAAAGUUUCGGCGGUUGGGGAUGGACUCGCGGCUUAUCAGCUUGUUGGUGGGGUAGUGGCUUACCAAGGCUUUGACGGGUAGGCGGCCUGGGAGGGUGACCGGCGACAUGGGGACUGAGGGACGGCCCAGACGCCUACGGGAGGCAGCAGGGGGGAAUAUUGCACAAUGGGCGGAAGCCUGAGGCAGCAACGCCGGGUGCGGGAUGACGGCCUUCGGGUUGUAAACCGCUUUAGCCUGAGACGAAGCGUGAGUGACGGUAAUGGGUAAAGAAGCACCGGCUAACUACGUG
rnacentral:rRNA from 1 species